rnacentral:rRNA from 1 species
CCUACGGGUGGCAGCAGUGGGGAAUAUUGCACAAUGGGGGAAACCCUGAUGCAGCGACGCCGCGUGAGUGAAGAAGUAUUUCGGUACGUAAAGCUCUAUCAGCAGGGAAGAAAAUGACGGUACCUGACUAAGAAGCCCCGGCUAACUACGUGCCAGCAGCCGCGGUAAUACGUAGGGGGCAAGCGUUAUCCGGAUUUACUGGGUGUAAAGGGAGCGUUGACGGCAGCGUAAGUCUGGAGUGAAAUCCCAUGGCUUAACCAGGGAACUGAUUUGGAAACGGUGCAGCUGGAGUGCAGGGGAGGUAAGCGGAAUUCCGGGUGAGGCGGUGAAAGGGGUGGAUAUGAGGGGGAACACCAGUGGCGAAGGCGGCUUACUGGACUGUAACGGACGUUGAGGCUCGAAAGCGUGGGGAGCAAACAGGAUUAGAUACCCGGUAGUC